GAGUAACACGUGAGUAACCUGCCCUUGACUCUGGGAUAAGCCUGGGAAACUGGGUCUAAUACCGGAUAUGACCUUCCAUCGCAUGGUGGUUGGUGGAAAGCUUUUGUGGUUUUGGAUGGACUCGCGGCCUAUCAGCUUGUUGGUGGGGUAAUGGCCUACCAAGGCGACGACGGGUAGCCGGCCUGAGAGGGUGACCGGCCACACUGGGACUGAGACACGGCCCAGACUCCUACGGGAGGCAGCAGUGGGGAAUAUUGCACAAUGGGCGCAAGCCUGAUGCAGCGACGCCGCGUGAGGGAUGACGGCCUUCGGGUUGUAAACCUCUUUCAGUAGGGAAGAAGCGUAAGUGACGGUACCUGCAGAAGAAGCGCCGGCUAACUACGUGCCAGCAGCCGCGGUAAUACGUAGGGCGCAAGCGUUAUCCGGAAUUAUUGGGCGUAAAGAGCUCGUAGGCGGUUUGUCGCGUCUGCCGUGAAAGUCCGGGGCUCAACUCCGGAUCUGCGGUGGGUACGGGCAGACUAGAGUGAUGUAGGGGAGACUGGAAUUCCUGGUGUAGCGGUGAAAUGCGCAGAUAUCAGGAGGAACACCGAUGGCGAAGGCAGGUCUCUGGGCAUUAACUGACGCUGAGGAGCGAAAGCAUGGGGAGCGAACAGGAUUAGAUACCCUGGUAGUCCAUGCCGUAAACGUUGGGCACUAGGUGUGGGGGACAUUCCACGUUUUCCGCGCCGUAGCUAACGCAUUAAGUGCCCCGCCUGGGGAGUACGGCCGCAAGGCUAAAACUCAAAGGAAUUGACGGGGGCCCGCACAAGCGGCGGAGCAUGCGGAUUAAUUCGAUGCAACGCGAAGAACCUUACCAAGGCUUGACAUGAACCAGACCGCCGCAGAAAUGUGGUUUCCCCUUUGGGGUUGGUUUACAGGUGGUGCAUGGUUGUCGUCAGCUCGUGUCGUGAGAUGUUGGGUUAAGUCCCGCAACGAGCGCAACCCUCGUUCCAUGUUGCCAGCGGGUAGUGCCGGGGACUCAUGGGAGACUGCCGGGGUCAACUCGGAGGAAGGUGGGGACGACGUCAAAUCAUCAUGCCCCUUAUGUCUUGGGCUUCACGCAUGCUAC
rnacentral:rRNA from 1 species